UUUAGCAUUAAUAACGGGAA
rnacentral:misc_RNA from 1 species